AGAACGCAGCGAAAUGCGAUAAGUAAUGUGAAUUGCAGAAUUCAGUGAAUCAUCGAAUCUUUGAACGCACAUUGCGCCCCCUGGUAUUCCGGGGGGCAUGCCUGUCCGAGCGUCAUUACAACCCUCAAGCUCAGCUUGGUAUUGGGCCCCGCCGACCCGGCGGGCCCUAAAGUCAGUGGCGGUGCCGUCCGGCUCCGAGCGUAGUAAUUCUUCUCGCUCCGGAGGUCCGGUCGUGUGCUUGCCAGCAACCCCCAAUUUUUUCAGGUUGACCUCGGAUCAGGUAGGGAUACCCGCUGAACUUAAGCAUAUCAAUAAGCGGAGGAA
rnacentral:rRNA from 1 species